AUCAGAUUUCGCUUCAAAAAUUUUGGACCUUUGUUACUAGGUACAUAAACAUCUGAGGUGUUUAUUGGAGCUCUUUGCCUAGAACUGAUAAUUGGAUUCAUGGUAUUCUGGAGAACAAGGAAACAGGCUGAGGAAGAAUAAGAGACUUGCUUGAGGAAGAAAACUGAAGCCCAGAAAGCUUAAUAUAUUACCCAAAGAGUUAGUCCACAUUGAACUGGGAGUUAAUCCUUGUCUGUCUGGCUGGAAAGCUUUUGCUCUGUAUCUUGGAUGAAUAAACUAAACCUUAGGGAAUCUUCCUAGAAGAAACCAUAUAACGCCUCCUGUACGAGAAGUUAAAUUACAACACAAAGAUUGCUUGGUGAGCAUGUGAUCAAAACAGGGCAAGAUGAAGACCUUUAGAGGCCACAAGCAUUUUAGUGUGCCUCCCAACUUCCCUUAUAUUAUUCAAAAUAUAAACAAUAAAAUCUACAAAGAUGUGAAAGAAGUCCA
rnacentral:lncRNA from 10 species